rnacentral:rRNA from 1 species
GACGAACCGUGCGAACGUUGUUCGGAAUCACUGGGCUUAAAGGGCGCGUAGGCGGGCUCACAAGUCAGGGGUGAAAUCCCACGACUCAACCGUGGAGGUGCCUUUGAUACUGUGGGUCUUGAGGGAGGUAGGGGCGUGCGGAACUUCCGGUGGAGCGGUGAAAUGCGUAGAUAUCGGAAGGAACACCGGUGGCGAAAGCGGCGCGCUGGACCUCUACUGACGCUGAGGCGCGAAAGCCAGGGGAGCAAACGGG